AUUGAACGCUGGCGGCAGGCUUAACACAUGCAAGUCGAGCGGAGAUGAGGUGCUUGCACCUUAUCUUAGCGGCGGACGGGUGAGUAAUGCUUAGGAAUCUGCCUAUUAGUGGGGGACAACAUUCCGAAAGGAAUGCUCAUACCGCAUACGCCCUACGGGGGAAAGCAGGGGAUCUUCGGACCUUGCGCUAAUAGAUGAGCCUAAGUCGGAUUAGCUAGUUGGUGGGGUAAAGGCCUACCAAGGCGACGAUCUGUAGCGGGUCUGAGAGGAUGAUCCGCCACACUGGGACUGAGACACGGCCCAGACUCCUACGGGAGGCAGCAGUGGGGAAUAUUGGACAAUGGGCGGAAGCCUGAUCCAGCCAUGCCGCGUGUGUGAAGAAGGCCUUUUGGUUGUAAAGCACUUUAAGCGAGGAGGAGGCUACCUGGAUUAAUACUCUAGGAUAGUGGACGUUACUCGCAGAAUAAGCACCGGCUAACUCUGUGCCAGCAGCCGCAGUAAGAC
rnacentral:rRNA from 1 species